UUUGGGCUGGGGUACUCUGCUCUCCAUCCAGGUGGUAGAGGUGCAUGGCGCCAGGGCCUCGCUGAGCCCCUGCCCCAGCCUCCACGGCCCCCCCGGACCCUCUCCCACCAUCCCCUCUCUCCGCAGGCCCCGAGUACCAGAAGCGGAGGCUGCUGCAGGAGAUCAUAGAGAACACGGAGCACACCAUCAACAUGGAGGAGGCAGCGCCGCCGCCACGGCCCGAGGGUGCCCCGCCGCCCCCCACGCCCCCCGAGAGCCCCCAGCUGCACGAGGAGGACGCGGUCCCCCGCCGCCGCCACAGCCCGGCCCCCAGCCCCGCCGCCACCCCGCCAGAGGCCAAGCGGGCCAAGGCGGCCGCCCGGCAGGACGGAGGCCUGCGGCCGGGCAGCUGGGGCGAGGCGGGCGGCGGGGCCGCCGAUGGUGAGGCCAGGCCGGCCUCACGGGGCGCGGGGAGGCCGGCAGAGCAGAUGGAGAUCGGGCCGCUGCAGCGCAUGGCGCGUGAGCCCGACGUCGAGCUCUUCAAGGGCUACCACAGCUACGCCGUCAGGACCUCCUCGGUCUCCCCCACCACAGACUAUGAGGAGGAGCCGUUCCCCGAGCACCACAGGCCACCCUCCCCGGAGAGCCGGGGGGAGCCCCAGCGUCACGGGGGCACCCCGGUCCCACCACGGGAGCCGGAGGAGAAGCCGGCGCCGCGAGCGGAGGCCAAGGCAGAGCAGCCGCGGCCGAAGGAGGCCCAGCCGCGGCCGAAGGAGGCCCAGCCACGGCCCAAGGAGGUGAAACAGCGCCCCAGCCCCGAGCGCAGGGUGGCGGGCAGGAACGAGCCCGCUGACAGAAAGACUGAGGGCCGGGCACCAGGGAGGACGGAGCACAAGGCGGGGGCCAAGCGGAGCCCGGCCCCGCUGCCGCCGGAUGCAGAGGAGUGCGACGAGGUGAUGUGUGGCACAUUUCGGGGCAAGGCGGGACACUCCGGGGACAGCAGCAGCUCUGUUGCCUUUUCUGUCACAGGAAUUGCGUUGUUUUUUUUUCCCCCUGCUUAUUCUUUCCCCAGGAUACCCAAAGGG
rnacentral:lncRNA from 1 species